rnacentral:lncRNA from 1 species
ACAGACACUAGGGGUUUUGGUGAGGUCUGGUUUGGGUUUUGGAUUAUGAUCUAAUGUUUGAAAGAAUAGAGGAGCCAUCGGUAACCUACAGAGCAUUAUGGCUCAUUAGUUAAAAGUAAUAUAUAUACUAAUAACUGCUUCGUAGAAACAUAAAUGCUAGAUAUUUCUGCACACUGUUGGCCAUUGUCAGUAUUAUCAUAAGUUAGCAUUUUGACACUACUCUAUAUUUGCCUCUCCUCUAUGUUUCCUCUACAGGAAACUUAAAUCAUGUCUACUUAUAUUAGGAACUAUUCAGAAAGGACCACGUGUAAUCAGUCACAAUAUUACAACAUAUCUAUUAACAGUUUUAUUUUGUUUCAAAUGGUCAUGGCAGUCAUGUUGGAUUUAGUUGGUGGUGAAAUAUGUUAUGGUACAAUACUUUGAAUACUUUAACCCAAAGUGUGUAUUUCUUCCGUAUUCUGAUUUUGUUUCGGUUGAUUUCGUCAAUUAACACCAACUGAUUUUUAUAACUCUAAAUCUAAGCUUCAACACUAAAGUGUCUGAUAUAUGCCAGUUUAUAAUUUUUACAAUUACCAUCCACAGGAAUGGGCAAUGGUCAUACAAUAUAUUUAUCAUUAAGGCAGUUAAUUGUAAUGAUUACAGUAUGCUGUACUCAUCUUAUGAUAGUUACUUUUCUUCUUGAUCAGAUGUCAGUUACAAAAAGCUGCAUAUACGGUGUUGCUUGAAUACAUACAAAAAUAAUCCAUACUGAAGUCCAGAUUAAUGCGCCAGCUUUUAUUUACAAGGUGAAUGAUGAUGGCCCCACCGUAUUAUUACCCCAGUGUUUGGAUCAAUGUACACUCACAUUUCAUUUUCACAUCCCUGGGGAGUACGUAUUCCAAGCCGUUGUAUCAGGCUCCAGAAGUUUGACAAAGACAUUACCUUCUCGUCGUACCGGAUAACCAGUCACUUCUCCUACAAACAUCCUUAUACUCUAACAAUUAAGAAAAAAACUCACAAUUUUCGGUUUUUUUAAAAUAAGGAAUCCAGUUCACAUUCGAGUUCCAUCACACAAUGAAGAAUAUUUGAUGAUAUGUAGGUAAGAUAGAUAGAGAGAGGUCCAUGGUUUUCCUUGCUUCCUGAACAACGAGUGUCACUAUUGCAGUUUAUUAGACUGUAUAGCAUGUCCUAACACCUCUAAAACCUGAAGGCAUGUCAAUUCCUCUUUUGUACUGGAUUCCAAAGCUCCAUAAUUGUUGUCUGCAGCGCAUGGCCGUCCGUCAUCGCAAUGUCUGGGUACCGUUUCACAAAGCAGUCGUAAGCCUUACGUGCGUGUAAAACUGGCGUAACUCGGAAAUACUGAACUAGGGGCGUUUCACAAAGCUAGUGUAAUAUUACGUCCGUGUAAAAUUGGCGUAAACUCUACGUGUGGUCUUGGGGUGGUGUAAAUAUUUACGCAAGCGAUAAAGAUGGCGAUCAAUCCAAACACGGACGAGAUUGCCAAAAAAGUAUGUAAGCGAGAACGUGUUUUCCGCGACAGGUCGAACCCCCUCGACGAUUUGGAUGAUCAUGACAUCAUCGAGAGGUACCGCCUAUCACGACACUUGAUAUUUUCUAUCAUUGGUAAAGUGAGUGACAGACUUGAACAUCAAACCCAGCGUUCCCAUGCAAUACCACCUUACCUUAAUGUUUUAAUUGCUCUGAGAUACUUCUUCAAGGGUGGAUUUUACAGUGAGAUUGCCGAUAUCCACUGUGUGAGUAAAUCCUCUUUCUGCAGAGCAAUCCACGCAACAACAGACGCAUUAUGUGCAACCAUGGGUGAUUUUGUAUUUCUCACAAUGCCUUCCACUGAGAAGAGUACCAAAGAAUCAUUCUUCGACACAGCUGGAUUCCCUAAAGUACUCGGUGCAAUUGAUUGCACACUCGUACCCAUAAUGGCGCCGAAACGUGACGAAGUAGCCUACGUUUGUCGGAAGGGUUACCAUGCACUGAACAUACAGGCAGUAUGUGAUGCCAACAUGAGGUGAGAUACAUACACACAUGGUAGAUAUGAAUUUUAUCAUGAAUCAAUUAUUCCUAUUCCUCUUGAACAAGGCACGACAAAAUGUAAACAUUACAACAUGAAAUAGAUGUCCUUGACAUUGACGCAUGCUGCGCCCCCUAGGUAACGUUUUUGGCGAGUUAAGUCAUGAUGCAUACCAGUAAAAAUGAAUCCAUUGUGAUAAUGUUUUCAAAUUUCCAUUGUUUCCAUGUAGAAUAACUGUUCCAUAAUUGAAAUGUGAAUUCAUAGUGUUUAUUUGUAGGCAGAUGUAGAUCUCUAAAUGAGCUUUAUAAAGUUAUGCAUGUGCAUUUUAAAUACUGGAUUUCUGUUGGAUUUAUAUGGAUAUAAAUUGUUAUAUUUUUCUGUGUGUUCAAGUGGCCUGGCUCUCUCCAUGACAGUUACAUAUGGAAUAACUCUGCCCUUGGUCAGUACUUUGAAAAGAAAAAUAUUGAUGGAUGGCUACUUGGAGACUCUGGAUACGCCUGCAGACCAUGGCUGCUGACCCCUGUGCUCAAUCCCAGCUCGGAAGGACAGGAGAAAUACAAUAGAUGUCAUAUCAAGACACGGAACACAAUAGAACUGUCCCUAUGGCGACAACACGUUGACUGGCCCAUGU